UUAAUUGAAGCCAAAAAGAGGCUUAUCACUGUUAAUGAUAGAACUGAGAUUUAUCUCCAAUUAAG
rnacentral:tRNA from 1 species